ACUGUUCCCUGGGAUUGGCUUUGGGCCUUUUCUGCGCAGCUUAGGUGGAAGGCGAAGAAGGCCUCCUUCUGGGGGGGCCCGAGCCAUCAGUGAGAUACCACUUUGGAAGAGCUAGAAUUCUGACCUUGUGUCAGGACCUAUGGGCCAAGGGAUAGUCUUAGGUAGAUAGUUUCUAUAGGGCAUAG
rfam:Nelumbo nucifera unplaced genomic scaffold scaffold00006, whole genome shotgun sequence